GGAUGGAAGGAAGGAAGGGAGGGAGUUAGUUUUGUAGUCACAUUGGCUAAAAAUUGAAUUGUUAUAAAGGUUUUUAAAAAUGAUACACUUGCUUUUUUGUUUUAAUAGUUUGAGUAUGUAAUUUUCUUUCAUUUGCAGAAAGGGCAAAGUUUUGUUGGACUAUUGGUCUGCUCUUAAUAAGAUAUUAUGAAUGUUUUGUUUUGUUUUGUUUUUACCUUUUGAGUAAUCUGCCUGAAAAGCAAAAAAGUUGUGUUUUACUAAAAUACUUUCCUGUGCUUCAUGUUUUCUUUAUCAGAUCUUUGAUUACUUACUGAGUCUUAACGCUAAGAGCUGAAUUUUACUUAAAACAAUGUAAUCUCCUAUAUUUGCUUUUAAAAUCUUUCGUCACUUUGGUUAAAAAUAUAAUUAAGUAUUAUCUGUGAUCCUAUUUAGUCAAGUGUCCAAACCUUUUGAUAUUUUUUGCAAACUUUCCAAAAUCGAUUUUUAAACACAAUUUUUUGACCUGGAAAGUAAGUUGGAGUUUUCCAGAGGGUCCCUGGAACAUCUCAAAAGAUUUGUUUUUUCUCUUUAUAAAAGGGAGGUGCUAAAUGAAUUGGUUUAUGUGAUAUUGCUAAAUUACAUGGGAAGUAUUGUUAAAUAAGAAAUAUCAAGCUUUCUUUACAUUGUAUAGGUAUCUGUUUUAAGUGUUGCAGAAAUUAUAUGAAAUUCCUAGAAAUCAGAUGUCCCAGCAUAAUGUUAUCACUGUAAUUCCAGUUAUUAUCUUAAAAUGUUGUGUUCCCAGAUAUAAUCAGAUUUUCUUGCCAAUUGCAUUGUAAUGAACUUUAUCAGAUCUUUAACCGUGGCCAUUUUUAAGUCCUUUCUCCUUUACAGACAGUUACUGUUUUAUUCUGAUGUUUUGUAAAAGCUUUCCUGUAAAAGUGCUUCAUCUUCAAGGAGUUCAUGAAUGGACUCUAACAAGUAUUGUGGAAUACAAGUUUCUGAUAACUUUAAGGUCGUCCAACUGAACUGGAUUACUGAUACAUGUGAAUCAGCCAGACCAUUUUGUAAAUACCCUCAACCUGCAAUAAUUUUUUCCACCUGUUUCCAAAAGGUAAUGGAAAAUCUAGAGUUAACACCUAGCUGGGCUAUACAUCAAUCAAUCAAAAGUUAACUUGGGUGAGGUUUGGUCAUAGCUGGAUGUCAUACAGAGACAGCCUGAUUUCCUUCUCUUAAGAGCAUAGAAUUGAGUCUAUUAUAUUUGCCUCCCAGCACAGAAAAGUGACAUACCUGUUCCAUGGCCUGAGUCAUCAUACAUACUAUGAUUCAUUUUGCAAGGAUAGAGCAAACUGUUGGGUCUGAUCAAAUUUUCUCUUAUCUGUUGACCAGGUAGGCCUAUCUUUUCUUGUAUCAGCAUUUGUCAUGUAUCUUAAAGUUAUUGAUUUUUUUAUUCCCUUUUUUUUUUUUUUAAGUAGGCUCCACACUCCAUGUGGGGCUUGAACUCAUGACCCUGGGAUCAAGAGUCACAUGCUUUACCGACUGAGCCAGGUGCCCCUAGACUCAUUGAUAUUUUUAAUACAAUUACUGUUGAUCAUUAAAAAUCCAAUGGACCUACUUAAUACAAAAAGUACAGAACUUUUCUAUAAUUUAGGCUGAGUUUUGAAGAUCCUGUCUCCAAGUAAAACAAACCCCACUAGUAAGUACCAGUUGAAAAUGAGGCCCAUUUAAAAUGGAAUACCCUACAUUAAAGUAUGUGGAAGUUGGUCUAUAAAUAUAUUUACCAUGUACAUUGAACUGCAUUUAAAUAGAUUUCAAAGGAACUCAGAUUUCAUCCACUGUAGCACACUUUCUAUAAAUCUGGAAACAGGAGAGUCUGGGAGAUGAAAUGAUUUCUUAAAUACUAGUUCACAAUGUUGCAAGGGCCUAAUCAAGAAGUGUCAGGAUUGUGCCUCCCUUCCCCCCAUUUUCAGUUUUGUUUCUAAUGUAAGCUCACAUUUGACAUGUUGGCUGAUUUUAACAUGUAUGUUACAGUAAUAAAUUCAAGGACUUCCA